rnacentral:misc_RNA from 1 species
UGAAAUUCUCAAAGUAAACCUUUUGUUAAUUCAAUUGGUUCCGCUUUGGACUUGGAGGUCUUUGCGGAUUAACAUCUGCUCCUCUUAAAUUUAUUAGCUGGAUCUCAGUAUAUGCUUGGUUCCACUCGGCGUGAUAAGUUAUCAUUCGCUGAGGACACUGUAAAAGGUGGCCAGGAAAUACAGAUGAACCGCUUCUAAUAGUCUAUUAAAUUAGACAAUUAAUUUUAAG